rnacentral:lncRNA from 1 species
GUUUGGGAGCUGGAGGCACUGCUGCCCCCCUCUGCUGAAAGGACACAGGGGAACAUCUUCACUGCAAAGCCCAUGACAGCCUGGAGCUGCUGGGUCACUUGAUGUCCUGUGUGGGCCAGCCUUACACUGCCGUGCACUGCUGGGCACACAGCACAGCACGGAUGGGCUGGGUCUCUGUCAGACCUCUGUACCCAAACUCAGUGCACACAAACUACGAGUGUCUCUUCCUGCCUACACUGAUUUCCCACUGCCUUAGGCUGCUGAACAAGGCCGUGUGCAGAGAAGAACACAUUCUUUUCUCCAGCUUAGUCCACUUGGGUCCUGUUGCUCUUUUGCAGAGUGCUGCCACAAAGAGACAAGGAGAGUAUCAGUUCUUCCCUGGCAUGGAGAAGGGCAGUCUGUAGCAGCAUAUCCUGUGGGGCAUUCUCCUUCUCUUCAGAAAUCUCUCUGAGGUGCAGCCUCUGAAGGGGCAGUCCCAGUGCAGAGCCACAACCAGCCUUUUCUCUCCUUGAGACCCCCCUUUGGAGCUGGAGGAGUUACAGAACUAUUCUCUGUCUUGCUACAGGAGACACCAGGUUGACAGGUCACUAGCUUUUCCCAUACCUGGACAACAUCUCAGCUCUGCCUGGGACAAGCAGGGAUUCCACCUGGCAGCUCACAGGGCUGGAAGUCUGUGAGUGUGAGGGUGGCUGCAGAGGACACAAACUGGGGGACACAGACACGAAAACACAUUCCUGGGAUCUCCUUCUCUUCCCAUCCUUUUCUGCCAUUCUGUGCAUUCCUGUGCACACGCUCAGGCUGCCACACAGCCCCAUCAUGCUCCCUGAGAGCACUGAACUCUCCCACCUACUGAACUCCCACCUGCUCGUGCACACCCACGCUCACAGCCAGCAGGAAGCCAGAGGAGCAGAGCACAUGCACCUCAUGGCUGCCUGCAGGUGUCAUUCCCCACCGCUCCCGGACAGCCAACUGCCUUGUCACAUUUCAGACUCCCUCUCCCUCCCCUGCCCACCCACUGAGAGACGCAUCUCUUCCUCUCCUCCUCUCCUCUUUGCACAUCUCCGUGUCUGUGCUGUCACCAGGCCCAGGUUGCUGGAAGGAGGUGGCCUUUCUCUAUGGAUUUCCCCCGGUUCCUUGUGGCCAUCCUGCUGCCUGUGGGCUGGGCCCUUCAGCAAUCACCAGAUACAGUUGUCCGGGAGGGAGACCCUGUGACUCUGGAAUGUUCUGGAUCGGGGAGUGCAACGAGGCCCAUGUCCUGGUACAAGUUGCCCAUGGAGAAGGAUGCCAGCAUGCAGUUGGUUGUAUACUCAGUGGAAGGUGGCAAAGCAGAUAUUGAGAAGGAAUUCAGAAAUCGCUUCCAGAGUAAUGGGACUCGGAACAACCGUUUAUCUGUGAAGAUAGAUCAUGCCCUACUCAAUGACUCGGGCACAUAUUUCUGUGCUGAACAAGAUCCACAGUGACUCAAAGGCUGGUGCAGCACAGCACAAACCUUUCCAGGCAAACAGGGAUCUGCCACCAGCACACACUGAGCCCUGUGUUUGACCGAACGCCAUUUUCUUCACUUGCCCUCCAGCUCUUUCUGUAGAGACGAGGUUAUGCUUGUCUGUCUUUCUGUCUGUGCAUCUGUCUGUCUUCUUCAUGGUCUCUAGCAGCUUCUCUAUUCUCUCCCAUGUGGGUAUCACCUUUCUUCUUGUCCUCACUGUCUCACCUCAUUUCUCUGCCAUUCACAGAGAAAUACUCUGUCCCCCUGACCUUUCCUCUCCAUCCCCUGACGCCUUCCUAUUUCCUUCAUUCUCAUCCAUCUCUCCUUCCUUUCAGUCUGCUACCUCAGCUCAUGCAGAAGCACCAUGUGGAAUGCUUUGCACAGCGCCUUCCUUCUCCACCAGCAGGAAGGACAAGGCCAACUGGUCCUUGGCCCCACUGGUCUCCAGGCAAUGGGUACACUGCUGUGCAGCAGGGACCCCAAGUCACACCACUACCCUGGCAUCUGAAGACUCUGAUGUUUGAGAGCUGUCCCUGUGCACUGGAGGGACAGCCCAAGUUGGCCAUGGAAUGUCCCUGGUGACCAGGGCAAGGACUGGGAGGAAGAAGUCUGAGUGAACUCUUCAGCAGGGGUCGUUGGUGUUUGCCAGCAUCUUGUCUGGCCCAUCCACUACAUCCCCUGUUGCUUGCUGCAAGACACAAGGGCUGCCCUGACUUGUUUAUUCCUCUUUAUCUCCAGCAUAAAACAGAGUGCAAGGGCCCAGGGGAAUCUGAUGCUCACGGAAAUUUUCAUAAUCCGUCAAGAACAGAAGCUGGAAAUUCCUUACUGGAGUGUGAGGCACAGGCUUGGUCAGAGGUGCUGCAGCUCAGCCCAUAGCUGUGGGGACAGGGAGGUGCUGUCUGCUGCUCAAGUUGUUGUGGUUUAAGCCCAGUCAGCCACUCGGUGUCACAGACACUCACUCACCACCCCCUUCUCCUGCUGGGAUGGGAGAAAGGGUAAAACUUAUGGGUUGAGAUACAAACAGAGCAAGAAUAGGAGUAAAUAAAAAGGGAAAGAGAGAGAAAUAAAACUCAUCAAAAU